GUAUGUUCUCCAGUUCUUAGAAGAAAAAUGCUGCCCAUUCUUGGCAUAAAAAUUGUUUUAAUGUGCCGUUAAUCCGAAAGAUUGCUUUGCAAAAGCUACGAUAAUACAUGUAAUAACAAUGUCCUAAAAACUUGAAGAGAUAUAUUCUCCUCAAUAUGUAGAUUGGCAUGAAAUAGGUAAAAACAAUGUAGAUAUUAUUGAUACACUCAGAUGGCCAGGGAUUGGGUAGUCUAACAAAAUUUGACUGAAG
rnacentral:misc_RNA from 1 species